rnacentral:rRNA from 1 species
CCUACCAUAGGUAUGCUUAGGGAAGAGCUUGGGUCACAUUAAUUAGUUGGGGGGGUAAUGGCCUACCAAGACGAUGAUGUGUAGCCGGGCUGAGAGGUCGAACGGCCACAUUGGGACUGAGACACGGCCCAAACUCCUACGGGAGGCAGCAGUAAGGAAUUUUCGGCAAUGGAGGAAACUCUGACCGAACAAUGCCCCGUGAACGAUGAAGUAUUUCGGUACGUAAAGUUCUUUUAUUAAGGAAGAAAAGAUGGUGGAAAAACCAUUAUGACGGUACCUAAUGAAUAAGCCCCGGCUAACUAUGUGCCAGCAGCCGCGGUAAUACAUAGGGGGCAAGCGUUAUCCGGAAUUAUUGGGCGUAAAGGGUGCGUAGGCGGUUAAAUAAGUUUAUGGUCUAAGUGCAACGCUCAACGUUGUGAUGCUAUAAAAACUGGUUAUCUAGAGUUGGAUAGAGGCAAGUGGAAUUCCGUGGGUAGUGGUAAAAUGCGUAAAUAUACGGAGGAACACCCGAAGCGAAGGCGGCUUGCUGGGUCUUAACUGACGCUGAAGCACGAAAGCGUGGGGAGCAAACAGGAUUAAAUACCCUGGUAGUCCACGCCCUAAACGAUGAGUACUAAACGUUGGAUAAAACCCGUGUUGAAGUUAACACAUUAAGUACUCCGCCUGAGUAGUACGUACGCAAGUAUGAAACUUAAAGGAAUUGACGGGACUCCCCCCAAGCGGUGGAUCAUGUUUGUUUUAAUUCCAAGGUACCCGAAAAACCCCACCCGGUCCUUGACAUGCUUUCUUCAAAGCUUGUAGAAAUACCGUGGGAGGUU